rnacentral:rRNA from 1 species
UACGGAGGGGGCUAGCGUUGUCCGGAAUUAUUGGGCGUAAAGCGCGCGUAGGUGGCCCAGUAAGUCCGUUCUGAAAGUCACAGGCUCAACCUGUGAAAGCGGAUGGAUACUGCUGGGCUAGAGUCCGGGAAGAGGCGAGUGGAACUCCUAGUGUAGAGGUGGAAUUCGUAGAUAUUAGGAAGAACACCAAUGGCGAAGGCGGCUACUGGUCCGGUACUGACGCUGAGGUGCGAAAGCGUGGGGAGCAAACAGG